ensembl:miRNA predicted gene, 25035
CCUGGAACUCACUAUGUAGACCAGGCUGGCCUCAAAUUCACAGAUACCUGCCUGCCUCUGCCUCCUGAGUCCUGGAA